rnacentral:misc_RNA from 1 species
UCAACCAUCAAGCCUGGCUUGUCGUUGGACCUCUUUACUACUGAAAUAUGUGGUAGGUCCGAAAGAUAAUGACGGCGUCGUGUUUGACCCUAGAUGCAACGAGCUUUUUUAUAGCAAGCAUUGAUGUGGUCAGGCGACCCAGUCUUUAACCAUUAUUUUCUAAGG